rnacentral:piRNA from 6 species
GUUUCCGUAGUGUAGUGGUUAUCACAUUCGCC